rnacentral:lncRNA from 1 species
UAUAUAUUCCAUGAUUGCAUGACCUUCAUAUGGCCUUACAUCUCCAUUACAUUUGCUACUAUUUCUGUAUUUGUAGAAUGAAAAUCAAGGACAAUAUACUGGAGAUGGAUCUGUCGACAUUCAUGGAAACCCCGUUUUAAAGAACAGCACAGGCAAUUGGAGAGCAUGCCCUUUCAUUUUAGGUAUUCACAAUAACUAACCACAGACAAGUUUAAUCCUUUUCUCUAACUGAGAUGCAUUAAAUCAUUCCUUAUUUUCACAUUACAAAUUAUAGGGAAUGAAUGUUGUGAACGUUUAGCUUACUAUGGAAUAGCUACAAAUCUUGUCACUUACCUAAAGAACAAGCUACAUGAGGGGAAUGCCUCUGCUGCACGAAAUGUCACAACAUGGCAAGGAACCUGCUAUAUUACGCCAUUGCUUGGUGCAAUUUUAGCUGAUGCAUACUGGGGAAGAUACUGGACAAUUGCAGUGUUCUCAACUAUAUACUUUGUUGUAAGUAUGCUAGUUGCAGAUGUUCUUUACUGUAAUGAGUGGAUGCUCUUUUCUUUUGUUCAAAUGUAAUAUGAUCAUUGAUGCUUUAUUAAAUGUAGGGAAUGGCCACAUUGACCCUUUCAGCAUCAGUUCCUGCUUUUAAGCCUUCACCAUGUGUUGAAUCUGUUUGCCCAGAAGCAAGUGCAGUUCAAUAUGCUAUUUUCUUUUUUGGACUCUAUCUAAUUGCACUGGGGACCGGUGGAAUUAAACCUUGUGUUUCUUCGUUUGGAGCUGACCAAUUUGAUGAUACUGAUCCGAGAGAGCGAAUGAAGAAGGGAUCCUUUUUUAAUUGGUUUUACUUCUCUAUUAACAUUGGUGCUCUCAUAUCCAGCAGCUUUCUAGUUUGGGUGCAAGACAAUUGUGGAUGGGGCUUGGGCUUUGGAAUUCCUACAUUGUUUAUGGGAUUAGCUAUAAUUAGUUUUUUCUUUGGUACUCCACUUUAUAGAUUCCAAAAACCAGGAGGAAGCCCUCUUAUAAGAAUGUGCCAGGUGGUGGUUGCCUCUUUUCGCAAGUGGAAAGUGGAUGUGCCUCAUGACAGUUGUCUCCUAUAUGAAGUGCCUGAGAAGGCUUCAGCAAUUAAAGGAAGUCGAAAGCUGGAGCACACAGAUGAAAUUAAGUAAUUCUCUUAACUUCCGCAACCAGUUUCGUUGAGGUUUCUUUAUGCAUAUCUUGAUUGAUUCUUGAUUUCAUGCUUCAUUUGCUAUAGUUCUUCAAAGAACUAAAUCAAGAACCGAAUUUAUCCACAAGACUUGAAUGCCAAUCUGCUUUUGAAGUUCUAUUGUCUUUCUUCUCUUGUUAUCCUAGGAGUUCUAUGUUUUCAGUGGUUAAUCAGUUGUAAAACUGCAAUGUGGAUCCUUUUGUACGACAGCAUUUUUUAAGUUGCAGAUUGGUAAAAUUUUUAUCAGUGAAAAGUGUUGCUUAAAUCUGGACUUUCCUUUAGGUUUAUAUGUACUAGAUGAUAUAUUAAUGAUAAAAUAUCUCCUUGAUGAUGCUUCAACUGGUAGACAAGGUUGCUGAGUGACAAGUUGUCCAAUAAAUCUUGCAUCAAACUGAUAUUGCCUCGAUGAGAAAUUAACUUAUGAAGUUUCAGCUUCAAUUAUAUCGUGCCUAGUGCUUAAUGGAUUUCAAUACUUGAAUACUCUCUUAAGAAAGUGCUUAAUGGAUUUCAAUACUUGAAUACUCUCUUAAGACUGGUGGGCUCUAUGAUAAUUCUAUCAUAUAGUUGGGUAAUGAAAUAUGUUUGUGUCAGAAGCAAUGUGGUGUACGUUACAGGAUGUUUGUCAAGAGCACCCCACGGCGAUAGUAGGUUAAGCCAUUUUGUGAGAUGAGAUAUUACUGUUCAUAGUAGUAAUACUAAAGACCAACUCUGAUAUUAUAGAAACUAGUUUUUUUUUCAGAAAUUAUCUCCUGCUUAUUUUCAUAUGCCAUUAACUGUGCUGAUUCCUAGUGUGCAUGAUAUUGGAUUAUGUGUAACUAUUAUCUUUUGCAGGUUCCUUGACAAGGCUGCUACAGUGACGGAUCUCGAUACAAAGACUGAAAGUUUUUCGAACCCAUGGCGGUUGUGUACAGUCACUCAGGUGGAAGAACUGAAGAUUCUGGUGAGGAUGUUCCCUGUUUGGGCAACCACCAUAGUGUUCUCUGCAGUAUAUGCACAGAUAUCUACUAUGUUUGUCGAACAAGGGAUGGUCAUGGACACGAGUAUAGGCUCCUUCACCAUUCCACCUGCAUCUCUAUCAACCUUUGAUGUCAUCAGUGUCAUUGUGUGGGUGCCAAUCUAUGAUAGAAUUCUUGUUCCGGUGGCAAGGAGAUUCACAGGCAAGGAGAGAGGUUUUUCAGAAUUGCAAAGGAUGGGUAUUGGCCUGUUCAUAUCUAUACUAGCAAUGGCAGCAGCUGCAGUGGUGGAGAUCAGGCGACUUGACAUUGCCAAGGCGGAAGGUUUAGUGUCCGAGAAAGUGGCCAUUCCAUUAAGCAUCUUUUGGCAGACACCUCAAUACUUUUUGGUCGGAGCAGCGGAAGUAUUCACAUUCAUUGGGUCACUGGAGUUCUUCUAUGAUCAGUCUCCUGAUGCUAUGAGAAGUCUGUGCAGUGCGUUAUCACUUCUUACCACUGCGCUGGGGAACUACCUGAGUUCCUUCAUCUUGACUGUCGUGACAUCGGUAACAACUCGAGGAGGGAGGACAGGAUGGAUUCCCGAUAACUUGAACGAAGGGCACCUCGACUACUACUUCUGGCUGCUCACGGGGCUGAGCUUCUUGAAUCUUUUGAUAUAUGUUGCCUGUGCUAAUAGGUACAAAAGCAAGAGGGCUUCUUGAGUUCCAAAGAACUGCAGGGUACCAUCAUUCAUGAAACACCGACCUGUACAUUUGUUGUGGUGUCUGUUUGGUGACUGAUUUAAGUGUUUCUUCCCUAUGUCAUCCCUCUGGAUUGAACAGUUGCUUCAUUUCAAUUACCACAGACAGUUCUCUAAUUGCAGAUAGUCUGUGUCAA